GACAGUGUUUAGGUCUUUUCGUUCCUUUCGUUGAUGUUCUGUGAACGCUAUGGAGGGAAAUGUUACUUUAAAUAAAUUAGAGUGCUUCAAGCAUGCGUUUUGCCUUGAAUAUUUCAUUCUGGAAUAACAACCAAAAGUGAGUUUGUGUUGGUUCUGAACUACUCAAUUAAUGAUUGAAAGAAGCAGUCGGGGGCAUUCGUAUUUGGUAGCUAGAGGUGAAAUUCUUAGAUUUACCAAAGACGAACCAUUGCGAAAGCAUUUGCCAAGGAUGUUUUCAUUAAUCAAGAACGAAAGUUAGGGGAUCGAAGACGAUCAGAUACCGUCGUAGUCUUAACUGUAAACUAUGCCGACUUGAGAUUGGACGAUGCCACAAUAAGCUCCUCCAGCACCAGAAGAGAAAUCGAAGUUUUUGGGUUCUGGGGGGAGUAUGGUCGCAAGGCUGAAACUUAAAGGAAUUGACGGAAGGGCACCACCAGGAGUGGAGCCUGCGGCUUAAUUUGACUCAACACGGGGAACCUCACCAGGUCCAGACAUAAGAAGGAUUGACAGAUUGAGAGCUUUUUCUUGAUUUUAUGGGUGGUGGUGCAUGGGCCGUUCUUAGUUGGUGGAGUGAUUUGUCUGGUUAAUUCCGUUAACGAACGAGACUUUAACCUGCUAACUAGACAGCGGAAUAUCUGUUCCGACUGCGCUUCUUAGAGGGACUUUGCG
rnacentral:rRNA from 1 species